CUAGCUGUAAACGAUGUGGACUUGGCGUUGGUGGGGUAAAAGCCAUCAGUGCCGGAGCUAACGCGGUAAGUCCACCGCCUGGGGACUACGGCCGCAAGGUUAAAACUCAAGGGAAUUGACGGGUCCCCGCACAAGCAGCGGAGCGUGUGGUUUAAUUCGAUGAUACACGAAAAACCUUACCCGGGUUUGACAUAUAAGUAGUAGGGAUCUGAAAAGUGACCGACCCUUCGGGGAGCUUAUACAGGUGC
rnacentral:rRNA from 1 species